UUCAUGGUAGCAUCCACAAUAAUGUACAGUGGAAGUGUUUAGAAACAUUCUAUUCUUAUUUCCAAUAAAAGUGACUCCAAAAUGACAAUACAUUAUUUACCAUUCAAGUCAAGGGGUCUGAAUAUGCUGUAUACACAUAUUUUACAUAUACAUUUUACACACAUGGUACUUUUAUAUAGCGCAAUCACAUAAUAAUAAUAAUAAUAAUAAUAAUAGUAAUACAUUACCAAACACAAGCUCUUUAAUCACACAUGAAUUUUGAACCUUCCUAAUCGCAUAUUAUCCACAGAUUGUAAGCUAAAGAUGAAAACCUUUCCUAUGAUUAUUCUUAUAUUAUUGAUUGAUUGACAAUGGCUUUCCAAAUUGCCCAACACUGCUCUUUGUAAGGUUAAUGUUAAGUCAAUGUUGUGAUUGGAAACAAGCUACUGUACAUAGGGGCAAUACCAUAAUAAAUGAUCUCUUCGCAGAAAAAUCUACAGUGCUGAGAUUGUUGUAUGCCCUAUUUAUACAGCAUGAAAUUGGUGGCAAGAAUUUGGUAUAAUAAUUUUAAUUGAAAAAGUCAGUCUUGAAUCAAAUGUAGUUUUUUUGUAUCAGUUCAUAUACCAUGUUUCAUGGAAUCGGUACAUCGAAAAUCUCUUCCCAUUUAUUUUGCAACCUGUAUGGCGCAGCGGUCAACAUUUUUGCCCUCAAAUGAAACUGGUAUAUUUUUCUAUUUAUGCCAAUCAUUUUCAGCCAAUUUGUAUCUUUAGUAUAUGGCAGACAAACAAGUUCCAAACAUUCUCCCUCUUCCCCUUGCCCUUGGUAAUGCUGCAAUCAAUUGGUUGUAACUUUGGAUUGAGCAGACAUUCCCAUAUAUUUUUGAUAGCUGCAUGUGUUACUUAACUCCACUAUUUCUAUUCAUAUUAUCAAUAAUACAUAUAAUACUUUUUUUUUCUUCCAUAAAUAACUUUUUUUUAUUAAUCAGUAUUUUAGUUUAACCAUAAUAUUUGUUCUGUCUUUUCUGGAAGGUAAAUAUAUAUAUAAUAUAUAUAUGAGUGAAGCUUUUAGUGAGACGUUUAAUGCUUUAAUAUUUAAUAUUUUUAGCCCCCAAAACGCAUAUUAAUUAUUUUGUCUGGUUUAGCGUUCCAAAUUAAGUGAAAUAUUUUUUGCUCAUAUGAUUUUUUUUUUUACAUUUUACUAAUGGCAAUGCCAUGAGUAAGUAAACUGUGAUAGGACCAAAGAGUUAAUAAAUGUGAUUUUUCCAUAAAGAGACAAGUAUUUACCUCUCCAUGGUUGCAGAAUCCUAUCUAUUUUUGCAAACUUUCUUUUGAAAUUGGUUGUGAUAAGUUAAUUUAUAUUUUUGGAGAUAUGAAUACCAAGUAUGUCUACUUCACCUUCCUCCCAUUUUAUUGGUAAACUACAAGAUAGUGUAAACAAUGACUUUUAACGAUCCAAUGCGUUAUAUUGUACACUUGUCAUAAUUAGGUUUUAGUCCAGAGAGGCUAGAAAAGUGAUCUAGAUCUUCAAUGAGACUGUGCAGGGAUCCAGAUUGCAGACUUAAGAAAAAAACUUGAGUCAUUGGCAUACAUUGACACAUUUUUGUUUCUAACCCCUUGAUGUUUUUGUUGGAUCAAAUUUUAAUAGCUAGCAUUUCGAUGGCCAUAAUAAAUAUAUACGGAGACAAUGGACAGCCUUUUACUACUCUUAAAAGCUCAAUACUUUCUAACCAUUAUUUACUAUUUUACACCUGGGGUUGCUGUACAUAACUUUAACCCAUUGUAUAAGAGAUUCACCGAAAUUAAAGUAAUCCAGGCAUUUAUAUAUCAAUUAUAAUUGUACUUAUUCAAACUCCUUUUCGAAACCUGCAAUUAGGGAGACUAAGUGUGUACAUUCACUACAACAAAUAUCAAUGUUCAAGUAACUUCAAUCGUUAUAGAUCAGAAUACAUCAUGCAAUUUAGUUUCAAAAAGUUCAUAAAACAUUAAACAGUUAAGUAUUUACAACUUAAGAAGACCAUAUGGGUGGUGAUACCACUUUAUUACUUUAAGUAUUGAACACUGAAAUACUCUGAGUUGGGUUACUCAAAUGGUUCUAGGCAACUGGUUUCCACAUAAACUAAUUGUUAGCAGAACAAAUUACUUUUUACAGUGCAGAAUCUGAUGCCUUACUUUACAUUAAGUUACGCAUGCAUAUCCCAAGGGUGCAUCUUUAACCACUAACAAUAUUUUUUAUUUUUUGUACAUUUUAUACAAAUGAUUUUACUAUGUUCUGUGGUACAUUUUUUAUAAAAAAGUGAUACUAUAAAAGUUUCUCAUUUGUUUUCUGACCUUUAUCAGUCAUUGAUAUUAUUGAUAUAUAAAUUGAAUUAAAUGUUAGUGAUAGUAAAGCCACCAGUGGCCUGGGGUGGUUUAGCUGCUCUAACGGUCUAAACUGCUUCCUCUAGAAAACUAUAUACCACUGUGUCAGAGCAUGAAUUGAAAUCUGACCAAGUGUUCUUUCAGCACACUCUUCUUGCCUCUCCUGUCUCUCUGUUUCCA
rnacentral:lncRNA from 1 species